rnacentral:tRNA from 1 species
GGCUUCGUAGCUCAGCUGGUAGAGCGUUUGCGGCGUAGAGGCAUGGUGUUUCUGUUGCUGGUUCGAAUCCAGCCGAAGCCC